CUUUCAGUAAAAAGUGUCAAAAUAUAGAAUGAGGAUUUGCAAGCAAACAUGCCUUUGUCAGGAAUUUUUUUUAAUAAUGUGUGUAAUUAAUGCAAACAUGUUUCAGAGGUUUCAUAGAGAUGAACAGUAACAAGAAGCUUGUGGACACCAUAGGUGUAAAUACAAACCGUUUACAUUUUGAUAAUAAGUUUCAAACAAAAAUGAAAUAACAUAAUUCAAAUACAAUCAUCAACGAUUUAAAAAUAGAUUUAAAGUGAUUUAUAAAAUAUUUAAAUAUACAGUAACUAAACCACACUCACACUCAUGAACAAACAGAAGCUCUACUGAACUUCACUGACAAUCAUAUUUUUGCUUAACAAAACAUUCACAAGUUAGCCUUGUCAGGAUCCCCCUCCUGACACUGAUGAGGUGAAAGUAGGUGUUUGUUCAAUCAGAUGCAGCUACAGUAUGUGUGUGUAAAACCUGUGUGUGUUAAUCUUUAUAAGAUAAAGAGAGGGUUUUCCCCUUGGGCCAGAUACCAGCAACAGCUAGGAUGUAUAUGCAUCCUAGCAUGAGUUCUGUUGAUAAAUGAAGAGUUUGGACUUGCCCUCAUCAAUUUUUACCUCGUUACAAUUAAGCGCUACUUUUAUUGUUGCUUCUUUACAAAGCUCUACAUCAUAUUUAACAAAUAUCUCAGCAACUCUAUUUUCUAUGAUUUCAUUUUUAAGAGGUUCGUUAGUAUUUGGUAGUAUCUGAUGCAGCCUGAAGGAAUUCUUGUCACAAGCUCCUGUUGUGAAGACACUGCCAACGAUCACAUAUUUCUGAGUUCUAGCAGGUAUGAUUUGGAGCGACAUGAGGGUGAAUAAAUGCCGAAAGGUUUUCGGGUUUGGUUGAACUGGUCUUUUUAAUUGAGAUAUCACAGCAGCAGCCCAAUAAGCACAAAUAAAGCUUCAUCCAGAUGACACCUCCAGUCAGUGCCAGCACGAAGACCGCCAGUACACCCACAAGGACCUGGAGGAGAAUGAAGGAGCAGACCCGAUGUCUGAGCUGGUGGCUGCUCACAGCAGGCUUCAGAGAUUCCUCAGAGGCUUCCACAUCACAGAUGAAGGGAGUAGUUGCCAUGCUGAAUGAAUGAGUGAGCAAGGUGCUGAAUGAGCAUCUCCCUGUAGUCCUGGCCUCUUUUAUGACAAGGAUCUGCCCACUCAAGAGAGUUCCCUUACUGAAACUAGACAAAUGGCAGCAUGCUGCUAUGGCAAGCUUCCAAUGUGCUGGGACAACACAGAGAGAGGGAGCUGGGAUUACCCACACACCCACGCACAUGCUUGCAGGCACAUGCAAGAACAAUCAGGAACUCCGUGCUGGCACUCGAAUUCUCUCUCCAGCACAGAAGAGAAACUCUUUUACAUCCUUUUUACAUCCAGUAAAGCAUUUUAUGGCACUAUAAAUAAAUAAAGCGAUCCAGAAGUUCACCUUUAGACCUGUGCAUCUUCACAAACCCGGCUGCAGGUGUUAAACUGUGAGAUUUUGCGACUUCAUCAGUGGAUAGACAAUAAAAUGAUGCAAAGCUGAGUGGCCCCAAAAAUAUUUGCUCACUUAAAAACAUACAGUAUGGAGACCAUAAUAUUAAAUUAUGUGGCGCAUGCAAAAGCUUUUCUUAGAGCUUCAUUUUUCUAAAGCAUUUCAAGGUCAAUGACUUGAGGCCCUUUUUUUUGUUUGUUUAUUUGUUUGUAGCGCUCUAAAAUACAAUAAACAUGAAAUUCAUAUAUACAACGACAUGAGUAAACCACUUCUGUAUUAAACAUGUUAUUAAUUUUUGAAUAAAACUCUUAUUGAUAUUUUAAACAUUCGUAUAAUAAACGUGACUUAAAUGAAUUUUGCAAAGUUGAAGAUGCUGUAAAUGUAAUCAAUAUAAGUUGAGCAGUUCAGUUUAUUCUGAAGAGACAUGAUCGCUUUAUAUGAUGAACAGAUUUAAUCUAGG